rnacentral:rRNA from 1 species
AUACAGAGGGUGCGAGCGUUAAUCGGAAUUACUGGGCGUAAAGCGCGCGUAGGCGGCUUGGUCAGUAGGAUGUGAAAGCCCCGGGCUCAACCUGGGAAUGGCAUUCGAUACUGCCAGGCUAGAGUAUGGGAGAGGGAAGUGGAAUUUCCGGUGUAGCGGUGAAAUGCGUAGAUAUCGGAAGGAACACCAGUGGCGAAGGCGACUUCCUGGCCCAAUACUGACGCUGAGGUGCGAAAGCGUGGGGAGCGAACAGGAUUAGAAACCCUAGUAGUCC